rnacentral:rRNA from 1 species
GACGAACGCUGGCGGCGUGCUUAACACAUGCAAGUCGAACGGAAAGGCCCUGCUUUUGUGGGGUGCUCGAGUGGCGAACGGGUGAGUAACACGUGAGUAACCUGCCCUUGACUUUGGGGUAACUUCAGGAAACUGGGGCUACUACCGGAUAGGAGCUCCUGCUGCAUGGUGGGGGUUGGAAAGUUUCGGCGGUUGGGGAUGGACUCGCGGCUUAUCAGCUUGUUGGUGGGGUAGUGGCUUACCAAGGCAUUGAAGGGUAGCCGGCAUGAGAGGGUGACCGGCCACAUUGGGACUGCGAGACGGCCCAGACUGCUACGGGAGGCAGCAGUGGGGAAUCUUGCACAAUGGGAGGGAGCCUGAUGCAGCAACGCCGCGUGCGGGAUGACGGCCUUCGGGUUGUAAACCGCUGUCGCCUGUGACGAAGCGUGAGUGACGGUAAUGGGUAAAGAAGCACCGGCUAACUACGUG